AGCUUUGCGCAGUGGCAGUAUCGUAGCCAAUGAGGUUUAUCCGAGGCGCGAUUAUUGCUAAUUGUAAACAUAAGUAAACUAUACAUCAACAGCAGACAGAUUUGGUCAUAGCAUAAAUUA
rnacentral:snRNA from 1 species